AGCAGUCGCCACGGGAAUACGGAGGGUGCAAGCGUUAAUCGGAAUUACUGGGCGUAAAGCGCACGCAGGCGGUUUGUUAAGUCAGAUGUGAAAUCCCCGAGCUUAACUUGGGAACUGCAUUUGAAACUGGCAAGCUAGAGUCUUGUAGAGGGGGGUAGAAUUCCAGGUGUAGCGGUGAAAUGCGUAGAGAUCUGGAGGAAUACCGGUGGCGAAGGCGGCCCCCUGGACAAAGACUGACGCUCAGGUGCGAAAGCGUGGGGAGCAAACAGGAUUAGAUACCCCAGUAGUCCCUGUCUCUUAUAC
rnacentral:rRNA from 1 species